AUUGAACGCUGGCGGAAUGCUUUACACACGCAAGUCGAACGGCAGCACGGACUUCGGUCUGGUGGCGAGUGGCGAACGGGUGAGUAAUGUAUCGGAACGUGCCCAGUCGUGGGGGAUAACGUAGUGAAAAUUACGCUAAUACCGCAUACGAUCCAAGGAUGAAAGCGGGGGAUCGCAAGACCUCGCGCGAUUGGAGCGGCCGAUAUCAGAUUAGGUAGUUGGUGGGGUAAAGGCCCACCAAGCCAACGAUCUGUAGCUGGUCUGAGAGGACGACCAGCCACACUGGAACUGAGACACGGUCCAGACUCCUACGGGAGGCAGCAGUGGGGAAUUUUGGACAAUGGGCGCAAGCCUGAUCCAGCCAUUCCGCGUGCAGGAUGAAGGCCCUCGGGUUGUAAACUGCUUUUGUUAGGGGAGAAACCUGUAUCAUGAAUAGUGAUACAGCUGACGGUACCUGACGAAUAAGCCACGGCAAACUCCGUGCCAGCCGCCGCCGUAA
rnacentral:rRNA from 1 species